UUAUUAUAUAUAAUAAUGUAAUUGAAAAUUUGAAACGAUAUUACAUAAGGUUAAUAAUAAACAAAACGCAUCUUCAUUUCUGUCGUUAUAUUUUUGUUAGCCUCCUGAAGUCCUACUUCGAUCGAGCAUUUCGAAUGCUAUACAUGUUUGGUUGCAUAUAUGAAAUAAACUGUAAUACUAAUAUAUAUAGCACUUUGAUAUUUGUUAUACAUUUGUGAAUGCAUUUAUUGUUUGUGAAUACAGACUGCAGAAAAUAUUGGAGAAAAAAAAUGUAUAAUAAACUGUAAAAUAUGACACUUUAACUACGGGGGAACUUGGAAGAGAGAAAGGAUUGGGCCGCUAUAGUGCUAUACCGUUCAGAAAGAUGAUAUACAGGACAGCCACAUUAAUUAGUAUCAGAUAUUUGAAAAACUUGACUAUUAGGUGGUUAUUUAAAAUAAAUGUCGUUUGAGGUAUACAUAGUAAUAUUUUCGAUUUGUAAAUAUUAUUGACACAUUGCAAUGGUAAUUUAAAGUAAUAUAUUUAAUAAUAUUUUCUUGAUAAUAUAGAUUCUGAUAUUUUGAUAUUUAACCAAUUUCUUUGACUAUAUACAAAACUAUUCAACUCAAACUUUCGCGCCGCGAGGAAAAGUCUAUGCUUUCCUUGAGUGUCAACCAAUCAUUUGAAAAUUGUACAAAACAUUGAAAAUUCUUAAACAUAUGCUUAUGAUCUCAUCGUGAGUUUUAAGUUUUCAUUUAAGUAAUUGAACUUAUUAUUUAUUUAGUAUUUCAUUUAAAUAAUUUGAUGUUAUAUAUACGUGUAUUUAGUUAAAAAUGUAAAUAUGUAUAAACUGACUACAGCUGCAACAUAAAAGAAGAAUAUUUGUGUUUUCACGUGCUUGU